ACGACACCGCUGAAUCCGGAGCAGCCAGGCCCGCCUGUCAACCAGAGGAUCACAGGGCCUGUACUUGGGCUCCUCUCCGAUUCAACGAACUGGAGAAAAGAAAACAUACAGGGAGCCCCUUACCCGGUCUCAAGGUGGAACGGCAAGCGGCCGUGGAAGCCCGGGAGGUGGGUGAUCACCGACGACGACGCCGAGCACGGCAGCAGCAGCGGUAGCAGGAGGGAGAGGACGCAGGUGGCGAGGCGCGGUGGUUGCAGGAGCAUGCAUCGCCCCACGCGGUGA
rnacentral:lncRNA from 1 species